rnacentral:rRNA from 1 species
AAUACGAGAAUUAGCUUGAAACCCAAAGGACUUGGCGGUGCUUUAGUUCCACCUAGAGGAGCCUGUUCUAGAACCGAUGACCCCCGUUCAACCUCACCUCUCCUUGUUUCUCCCGCCUAUAUACCGCCGUCGUCAGCUUACCCUGUGAAGGUUUUAAUAGUAAGCAAAAUUGAUAUAACCCAAAACGUCAGGUCGAGGUGUAGCGCAUGGAGAGGGAAGAAAUGGGCUACAUUUCCUGCCACAGGAAACACGGAAGACUGUACUGAAAUAUACACCCAAAGGAGGAUUUAGCA